GACGAACGCUGGCGGCGUGCUUAACACAUGCAAGUCGAACGGAAAGGCCCUGCUUUUGUGGGGUGCUCGAGUGGCGAACGGGUGAGUAACACGUGAGUAACCUGCCCUUGACUUUGGGAUAACUUCAGGAAACUGGGGCUAAUACCGGAUAGGAGCUCCUGCUGCAUGGUGGGGGUUGGAAAGUUUCGGCGGUUGGGGAUGGACUCGCGGCUUAUCAGCUUGUUGGUGGGGUAGUGGCUUACCAAGGCUUUGACGGGUAGCCGGCCUGAGAGGGUGACCGGCCACAUUGGGACUGAGAUACGGCCCAGACUCCUACGGGAGGCAGCAGUGGGGAAUAUUGCGCAAUGGGCGGAAGCCUGAUGCAGCAACGCCGCGUGCGGGAUGACGGCCUUCGGGUUAUAAACCGCUUUCGCCUGUGACGAAGCGUGAGUGACGGUAAUGGGUAAAGAAGCACCGGCUAACUACGUG
rnacentral:rRNA from 1 species